rnacentral:rRNA from 1 species
AGAGUUUGAUCAUGGCUCAGGACGAACGCUUGCGGCGUGCCUAAAAAAUGCAAGUCGAGCGGGGCAUCCAGCAAUGGGUGUCCAGCGGCGAACGGUCGCGUAACACGUAAGCAACCUGCCCUCAAGACCGGGAUAACAGCGCGAAAGCGCUGCUAAUACCGGAUGUGCCUGUUGCUGGGCAUCCAGCGACAAGUAAAUCAGGCCCGCCUAAGAACGGGACUGGCUUGGGGAGGGGCUUGCGGCCUAUCAGCUAGUUGGUGGGGUAACGGCCUACCAAGGCGACGACGGGUAGCUGGUCUGAGAGGACGGCCAGCCGGACUGGGACUGAGACACGGCCCAGACUCCUACGGGGGGCAGCAAUUAGGAAUCUUGCACAAUGGGCGAAAGCCUGAUGCAGCGACGCCGCGUGGAGGAGGAAGUCCUUCGGGAUGUAAACUCCUUUUGGGGGAGACGAAGGUAAAGGUGACGGUAUCCCCUGAAUAAGCCCCGGCUAACUACGUGCCAGCAGCCGCGGUAAUAC